rnacentral:lncRNA from 14 species
UCCCCGCCCCGCCCGCUGCUACAUUGCCGGUCCCGCCCCCGGGGCGGCCCCCUGGGGUCCUAGUGCCGGGAUCCCGGUCCGGCCGCCCCGCGCUCGGCGCUGCCGCCACGGCCUCCGGUGCACCCGUGAGCGCAAACCUGACCCUAACCCAGCAGCGAGGGAAGGCCGCAAGCACGUCGCCAUGGCAACGGGCGGCCAGCGUGCGGAAUCCUCAGAUGUUACUCCACAUCCUGCUCCUCUGUGACAGCCCAGAGCCUGACCCCAUGCUCCAGAGAGGUUGCUGCCAAAUGAGGUCACCCUGGUGCAGAAACGUGGACGAAGUGCUUCCAGAAGAGGAGGAUGGAAGAAGCCAGGACAGGAAGUAGAGCCGUCAGUAGCACAGGGCUCAGCUCAGUCAACUCCCUGCUCUGGAAAUGCUGAUUCCAGUUUUGUCUUGGCUCACAGACUGAAAUGUAUUAGAUGGUUUCAUUGUCAUCUUCCAAUCUCUCAUCAUAAAAAUCAUUCUUUGGUUUGACACAGUUUAGUUGUCUCUCUAGAAGACGUCUGCUUACACAGGGCAGUUCAGCCACUAGGUCUGGGUGCCUUUUGGGAACCACAAAGCUCAGAGAACCUCAAUGAGGGACUGCUUUUCAAACCCUGUAACAUCUGCUGAGCUAGCACAUCUCUUGAGAAAGACCAUGAACACCAGAAUAACAGCUUGGAGUGGGUCUUGAUGGAGACAUCAAGGAUCAUCUGGUCCAACCUCUCUUGGGAAAGAGACAAGAUGGCUCAGCACCCUGUUCAGCCAAAGAUGGACAACCUGGACUGCUAGGGACCUCUUAUGCCUUUUUCUUAGUUAUUCUAGUGAUUAAUUCCUCCUUCAGUUGAACUGUUGCUCUUUACUUUUAGUUUGUAUGAUGGCCAUUCCACCCCAAUGCUCCUGUUUGUUUGCUAGGUUGAAACAUACACAGUGAAAAAAAAAUUCUUUCUUACAGACCCUUAGAAAUCACUUGUAUUUUUAAUUUCUCUAAAGCUCUCCAUGUGGAAACUUGUUCUACUGAUGUUGACUCCUUCUUAUGACUCUGACUGCUUUGAGUUUUCUACAGUCUUUAUAAAUAUUGAACAUUAAAUUAGCAUCACUAAAACUGCAGUAAUAUAAUUUCCUUAUUGUUCUGUAUGUUUCUCUUUGGUCAGUCCCUACUUCCUUACAGAUUAUUAGUCAAGAUACUGAACAAACAUUGAUGAUAGAAAUAUUUAAAUUAUUAUUAUUCCUUGCAGGAAGACUAUCCACUUGGUAGGAAUAAUGAGAUGUGCAGAUAGAGACUGAGAAACAAACGUCUAUACUGUCGUUCUCAGUGUUUAAUUUAUAGUGACCCACAGGUUGUA